UACGGGGGGAGCAAGCGUUGUUCGGAUUUACUGGGCGUAAAGCGCACGUAGGCGGCUUAGCAAGUCGGAUGUGAAAUCCCUCGGCUCAACCAAGGAAGUGCAUCCGAAACUGCUGAGCUUGAGUACGAAAGAGGAUCGCGGAAUUCCCGGUGUAGAGGUGAAAUUCGUAGAUAUCGGGAGGAACACCAGUGGCGAAGGCGGCGAUCUGGGUCGAUACUGACGCUGAGGUGCGAAAGCGUGGGGAGCAAACAGG
rnacentral:rRNA from 1 species